rnacentral:rRNA from 1 species
GACGAACGCUGGCGGCGUGCUUAACACAUGCAAGUCGUACGGUAAGGCCCUUUCGGGGGUACACGAGUGGCGAACGGGUGAGUAACACGUGAGUAACCUGCCCACAACUUUGGGAUAACGCUAGGAAACUGGUGCUAAUACUGGAUAUGUGCUCCUGCUGCAUGGUGGGGGUUGGAAAGCUCCGGCGGUUGUGGAUGGACUCCCGGCCUAUCAGCUUGUUGGUGGGGUAGUGGCCUACCAAGGCGGCGACGGGUAGCCGGCCUGAGAGGGUGACCGGCCACAUUGGGACUGAGAUACGGCCCAGACUCCUACGGGAGGCAGCAGUGGGGAAUAUUGCACAAUGGGCGCAAGCCUGAUGCAGCAACGCCGCGUGCGGGAUGACGGCCUUCGGGUUGUAAACCGCUUUCAGCAGGGACGAAGCUUUUUGUGACGGUACCUGCAGAAGAAGCACCGGCUAACUACGUG